GAUGAACGCUAGCGGGAGGCUUAACACAUGCAAGUCGAGGGGUAAAUGGUAGCAAUACUAUGAGACCGGCGGACGGGUGCGUAACGCGUAUGCAACAUACCUUGUGCAGGGGGAUAGCCCGUGGAAACGCGGAUUAAUAUUCCAUAGUCCAGCUAUAUCGCAUGGUAUAGUUGGUAAAGAUUUAUCGGCACAAGUUUGGCAUGCGUCUGAUUAGCUUGUUGGUAGGGUAACGGCCUACCAAGGCUACGAUCAGUAGGGGUUCUGAGAGGAUUAACCCCCACACUGGUACUGAGACACGGACCAGACUCCUACGGGAGGCAGCAGUGAGGAAUAUUGGUCAAUGGGCGGAAGCCUGAACCAGCCAUCCCGCGUGAAGGAAGACAGCCUUACGGGUUGUAAACUUCUUUUCUGUCAGAAGAAUAAGCUUGUCGAGACGAGUGAUGCCGGUAUGACAGGAAUAAGCAUCGGCUAACUCCGUGCCAGCAGCCGACGGUAAACACG
rnacentral:rRNA from 1 species